rnacentral:lncRNA from 13 species
AUGGCACCCUAUUCCCUACAUAGUUCGUUACUUUUGACCAGGGAGAGAGAGAGAGAGAGUAUAGCGAUGCCAUUUGGGUUGCAGACAGAAAUUAGCUUCCCAUUAGGGCAAUCAACAGUUAUUUUCCCUGAAUUAGCUCCCUGCUGGGAAGGAGAUGAAACCAAUCAGAAUAUCACUUCCCUGCUCCCUCUGUGUGUGCCCCCCCCCCCUUAUCUCUCUCUCUCUCUCUCUCUCUCUCUCUCUCCUCUCUCUCUCCUCUCUCUCUCUCNNNNNNNNNNNNNNNGCUGUGUGUCUCUCGCUCUCUCUCUCUCUUUCUCUCGCUGUGUGUCUCUCUCUCGCUGUCUCGCUCUCUCUAGCUGUGUCUCUCGCUCUCUCUCUCUUUCUCUCGCUGUGUGUCUCUCGCUCUCUCUGUGUGUCUCGCUCUCUCUUGCUCUCGCUGUUUGUGUCUCUCGCACGCUCUCUCUCGCUGUGUGUGUCUCUCUCGCUCUCGCUGUGUGUGUCUCUCUCGCUGUGUGUGUCUCGCUCUCGCUGUGUCUCUCUCUCUCUCUCUCUCUCUCUCUUGCUAUGUGUGUCUCUCGCUGUGUGUGUCUCUCGCUCUCUCUCUCUCUCUCUCUUGCUGUGUGUCUCUCGCUCUCUCUCGCUCGCUGUGUGUGUGUCUCUGUGUCAUUGGGUAAUUGUGACUGGUGCUGUGAAUAUCUACAUGCAUGUGGCUACACCGUACUUAGCAUANNNNNNNNNNCUGUGUGUCUCUCGCUCUCUCUCUCUCUUUCUCUCGCUGUGUGUCUCUCUCUCGCUGUCUCGCUCUCUCUAGCUGUGUCUCUCGCUCUCUCUCUCUUUCUCUCGCUGUGUGUCUCUCGCUCUCUCUGUGUGUCUCGCUCUCUCUUGCUCUCGCUGUUUGUGUCUCUCGCACGCUCUCUCUCGCUGUGUGUGUCUCUCUCGCUCUCGCUGUGUGUGUCUCUCUCGCUGUGUGUGUCUCGCUCUCGCUGUGUCUCUCUCUCUCUCUCUCUCUCUCUCUUGCUAUGUGUGUCUCUCGCUGUGUGUGUCUCUCGCUCUCUCUCUCUCUCUCUCUUGCUGUGUGUCUCUCGCUCUCUCUCGCUCGCUGUGUGUGUGUCUCUGUGUCAUUGGGUAAUUGUGACUGGUGCUGUGAAUAUCUACAUGCAUGUGGCUACACCGUACUUAGCAUACGGUAUCCUUUCAUUUUCCUCUGACUUUUAG